ensembl:miRNA
CACUUUUCCUGCCCUCGAGGAGCUCACAGUCUAGUACGUCUCAUCCCCUACUAGACUGAAGCUCCUUGAGGACAGGGAUCGUCAUACUCACCU